GUUGGUUGAUCGAAAAGUCGAUCUUUGGUCCAAAAAGUUUGGGCACCCCUACUCUAUACUGUCACUUCCUUCAAGAAGAUGAAGAAGUCUGUCUGAACAGGUAGUUAAAUAAGAGGUAAGUAAAUAAAAUUGGAAUGUCUUCCCUCAGGCAGCUGUUGACCCCUGGAUAUCAGGAAAUAUGGUACACUCCGGAUGGAAGUCGCAGAUCCUUCUCUCCUGUCAACAAAAAUCACUGUUUAUACCACGGAGAGGUUGCAGGUGUAGACGGUUCCAGUGUGGCUCUCAGCACAUGCUCAGGUCUCAGGUAAGAACUACCUCGACCACACCUGCUUCAGAGAUACGUUACAAUAUUACAACAUCAUUAUAUUUGGACAUGGAUCACAAUAGAAUGCUUGAUAGAGGGACAUUGUGGUUAAAUUGUGAUUUUUUUUUUUUUUUUAAAGCAUAAACUUGACAGAUUUGAGCAUUUUCCACUCAGGAAUCAAAGCUGCAACAUAAUGCCUUUUGACUUCCUGGAUAAUAGAUAUUGUUACUUAUAUCCCAAUAAAACAUAUUGCUUUAUA